GUGAAUCAUCGAAUUUUUGAACGCAUAUUGCACUCUCUGGUAUUCCGGAGAGUAUGCCUGUUUGAGGGUAAUUAAAAAGAAUCUUUAACCAAUUUUUUUUGGUCAAAGGAAAUGAGCUCUCCGCGUUUAUAGCGGUAGCUUGAAAUAAAUGGUCAAGUCUCAUUUUAGUCGAGACGCGUAAUAAUAUUAUUUCGCGAAAUCUUCAUUAUGUGACUAUCAAGUUUUGAUGCACCCCACUCCCCUUCCCCCCCCCCCCAUCCCCA
rnacentral:misc_RNA from 1 species